rnacentral:rRNA from 1 species
UGGGGAAUAUUGCACAAUGGGGGAAACCCUGAUGCAGCGACGCCGCGUGAGCGAAGAAGGCUUUCGAGUCGUAAAGCUCUGUCCUAUGAGAAGAUAAUGACGGUAUCAUAGGAGGAAGCCCUGGCUAAAUACGUGCCAGCAGCCGCGGUAAUACGUAUGGGGCGAGCGUUGUCCGGAAUUAUUGGGCGUAAAGCGCGCGCAGGUGGUUUAGAAAGUCUGAUGUGAAAGCCCACGGCUCAACCGUGGAGGGUCAUUGGAAACUAAUAAACUUGAGUGCAGGAGAGAAAAGUGGAAUUCCUAGUGUAGCGGUGAAAUGCGUAGAGAUUAGGAGGAACACCGGUGGCGAAAGCGGCUUUUUGGCCUGCAACUGACCCUGAGGCGCGAAAGCGUGGGGAGCAAACAGG